AAGUCGUAACAAGGUUUCCGUAGGUGAACCUGCGGAAGGAUCAUUAACACGUACGAAAGUACAACUACCAACACUGUGAACUGUGUGCUCUCCCCGGGAUACUUGACCCUAAAAAACUAUGACGAAGGCUGAAAGCAUUGGAAAUGGGCGGUCUAUUGGUAACCCUUUAGGCUGUAGCAAUAGUCAUACUUCUGCUGGGCCGAUCUGGGUUCACUGUCCGGGUUAAACUGGAUGGUGAAUGUCCUCGAGUCGGUCUACGGGUCUCUUUCGGAUAUGAGAAAUUUACCAUAUGCCAAUAACUUGACUAACAAUAUGAAUGCAUUUGACUGAUGUUUGUAGCUCAUAUGAAAAUAUGGGUGACUAGAUUUAAUUCUAACUAAGCACAACUCUUAGCAAUGGAUAUCUAGGUUCUC
rnacentral:misc_RNA from 1 species